AGCGUAGACGGAGUGGCAAGUCUGAUGUGAAAACCCGGGGCUCAACCCCGGGACUGCAUUGGAAACUGUCAAUCUAGAGUACCGGAGAGGCAAGCGGAAUUCCUAGUGUAGCGGUGAAAUGCGUAGAUAUUAGGAGGAACACCAGUGGCGAAGGCGGCUUACUGGACGGUAACUGACGUUGAGGCUCGAAAGCGUGGGAAGCAAACA
rnacentral:rRNA from 1 species